rnacentral:rRNA from 1 species
AAGAGCUUGCUCUUAUGGACGAGUUGCGAACGGGUGAGUAACACGUGGGGAACCUACCUUCUAGCGGGGGAUAACACAUAGAAAUGUGUGCUAAUACCGCAUAAUAGUAUUUGAUGCAUAUCAGAUACUUGAAAGGCGCAAUUGCGUCACUAGAAGAUGGCCCCGCGGUGCAUUAGCUAGUUGGUGAGGUAACGGCUCACCAAGGCAAUGAUGCAUAGCCGACCUGAGAGGGUGAUCGGCCACACUGGGACUGAGACACGGCCCAGACUCCUACGGGAGGCAGCAGUAGGGAAUCUUCGGCAAUGGACGCAAGUCUGACCGAGCAACGCCGCGUGAGUGAAGAAGGUUUUCGGAUCGUAAAACUCUGUUGUAAGAGAAGAACGUUGAUGAGAGUGGAAAGUUCAUCAAGUGACGGUAUCUUACCAGAAAGCCACGGCUAACUACGUGCCAGCAGCCGCGGUAAUACGUAGGUGGCAAGCGUUGUCCGGAUUUAUUGGGCGUAAAGCGAGCGCAGGCGGUUGAUUAAGUCUGAUGUGAAAGCCCCCGGCUCAACCGGGGAGGGUCAUUGGAAACUGGUCAACUUGAGUGCAGAAGAGGAGAGUGGAAUUCCAUGUGUAGCGGUGAAAUGCGUAGAUAUAUGGAGGAACACCAGUGGCGAAGGCGGCUCUCUGGUCUGUAACUGACGCUGAGGCUCGAAAGCGUGGGGAGCGAACAGGAUUAGAUACCCUGGUAGUCCACGCCGUAAACGAUGAGUGCUAAGUGUUGGAGGGUUUC